rnacentral:rRNA from 1 species
CUGAGAAACCCAAAAGAUCGAAUGGGGAGAUUCAUCGUCAGCGUGGCUGGCUUCCGUGCGGUUCGCGAUGGCCGGGAUCUCGGUCUCGCGUCACGCGUCCGCUGCGGUAUGUCCGGCUACGUCGGCGUGCACUUCUCCCCUAGUAGGACGUCGCGACCCGUUGGGUGUCGGACCGAUGGCCGUUUGGUCGCCUGUCUCGUCGCGUUCACGCGUGCACGAGGCAGACCGAAAUGGUCGAGCGUCCGGCUGCCCGGCGGUAUAGAACGCUAUUGAACGGUAAUGAGCCGCAUUAAGUGCGUUCAGGCUCGUCGGCAGGCUCGUCUCGCCCGGAUUUACGGACCUAGCGCCGUUGCCGGGUGCUUGGCGUGGCUGUUAGUCGACGAUGUCCUCGGACUGGCUCUAAAAUUCGAAAGGAUUACCGGUCGGCGACGCUACUGCUUUGGGUACUUUCAGGACCCGUCUUGAAACACG